UACGGAGGGUGCUAGCGUUGUUCGGAAUUACUGGGCGUAAAGCGCGCGUAGGCGGCUUUGCAAGUUAGAGGUGAAAGCCCGGGGCUCAACCCCGGAAUUGCCUUUAAGACUGCAUCGCUUGAAUCCGGGAGAGGUGAGUGGAAUUCCGAGUGUAGAGGUGAAAUUCGUAGAUAUUCGGAAGAACACCAGUGGCGAAGGCGGCUCACUGGACCGGCAUUGACGCUGAGGUGCGAAAGCGUGGGGAGCAAACAGG
rnacentral:rRNA from 1 species